UUAGGAAUUUUGCGCAAUGGGGGAAACCCUGACGCAGCAACGCCGCGUGAAGGAUGAAGGCCUUCGGGUCGUAAACUUCUUUUAGUAAGGAAGAAACAAAUGACGGUACUUACAGAAAAAGCACCGGCUAACUUCGUGCCAGCAGCCGCGGUAAUACGAAGGGUGCAAGCGUUAUUCGGAAUCACUGGGCGUAAAGAGCUCGUAGGCUGUUAAUUUAGUCAGAUGUGAAAUCCCUAGACUCAAUCUAGGACGUGCAUCUGAUACUGAUUGACUAGAGUGCAGGAGAGGAAAGCGGAAUUCCAGGUGUAGAGGUGAAAUUCGUAGAUAUCUGGAGGAACAACAGAGGCGAAGGCGGCUUUCUGGACUGUCACUGACGCUGAGGAGCGAAAGCGUGGGGAGCAAACA
rnacentral:rRNA from 1 species